rnacentral:rRNA from 1 species
CGCUUCCCGUCUGCUCAGCGAAGUUAAGCAUCGUCGGGCCCGGUUAGUACUACGGUGGGGGACCACGUUGGAAUCCCGGGUGUUGUUCUCU